AAGAGGAGAACGAGGACAGCUGACUACCGCUAAAAGUCAGACUAAGAGUACACAUUGUAUGAUUGAAAACUGCCGCUGCAUACUACCCGGUGCUUGCAGGUCUGACUGGUGCCUUCUCUCCAACAGCUGCUUCAAUCAAUGUUAAGUCUGACUACGCCCGCAGCUGACUACUUAUUGAAAGACCGAACAGGAAAUGAAAAGUCGUACUACAACAACUGUAAAUAAACAUUCCCUCCCCGCUCUGACUUUGAUCGACUUGCCCGCACAGCGUCUUUUUUGAGAGAAGAGGUCAAGGGGCUAAGUGACUCUCGAAAGUCGUCUUUUGUAUCGCGUCAAGAGAAAUGACAUAGAUAAGAUCAUUGCUUAAAGAGUUUCAUUGUCGAAUUGAUCUCGAAAUUGGAUCCCAAUAGUUGCUGCUGCCCAAAGGUGCUUUAUGAAAGCCGGUCCACAGCAGUGAAAGUACGAUUGAUUCCGUCGAUCGAACGAAAACAGCUUCUUGCUUUUUUUUCCUCUCUGGCUUGACUACUCUGCUUGCUUAACACAAGUCUUAUUUAACCUUCACGGACCACUUCACUACCCAGCAAGCUCCGGCUCGAAAGCAAGAAGCAAGGGCGCAGCAGCUGCGCGAAGUUGCGCCUUAGCGCAUCCGUUUUCUUGCUACUGGACUUCGAUGUUGUUCGAUAUGCCUAUAGAACCUUGGGAAAUUCUCUCUCCAUUUCCUUUGGCUUCAUUUAGCCUUUUCUUCAAGUUUUGGAUGAUAUUUUUAUUCAUUGAUUCAGUAUGUGCAUUUUCACUGGGGUGAUAUGGUAUCGACAGUAUCCUUUUUAUUUUGUGAUAUUCGAGGAAUUUUGUUACCUUACUGCUGAUGAAUUGUUUUUCAUUAUCACACACAAUCUCUGCAGGUAUCCCGAAUUGGCAUGCAAUGUGAUCCCAUAUGAAUUCGAUCACUUCUUUCUCUUUGACUUUCUCGAAGGCAUGUGGUUCAACCCAUUUAGAUAAAUAGUUAGUCAUAAAUAAUAUGAAUUUAGCUUUACCUGUGGCUCAUAGCAGAGGACCGACAAUGUCCAUUUCCCAUUUUAUGAAUGUCCAUGAGGAUAGGACCGAGUGAAGUUGUUCACCAGGCUGAUGAGUCAUUGGUGCAAAACUUUGACAUUCAUUGCAUCUUCGAACAAACUCCUUAGAGUCUUUCUCCAUGCUAUCCCAAUAGUAUCCUGCUCUGAUGGCCUUUCGAACUGGUGAAUUGGCACCAGAAUGGUUUCCACAAGUGCCUUCGUGGUUUUCUCGCAAAGCAUAGUCAGUAUCUCCCGGCCCUAAGCAUAAUGCCAAUGGACCAUCGAACGUUCUUAUAUAUAACGUUCCAUCUUGUCUAAUGUGAACCGAGCUGCUUUAGUUCUUAAGGUCCUCGAUUUUUUUGGGAUCCGAUGGUAGUUUCCCAUUUUUCAAAUAUUUGACAUACUUGUUUCUUCAAUCCCAGGUUAAUUUGUAGAAUUGAUUUUUGCGUGUCCUUCCUCGAUUACAGACCUCAAGAGUUGGACGACAGUCCCCGAGCUAAUUUUAUCUUCAUCAACUGACGAUCCCAAGUUGGCAAAUGCAUCAAUUGCAGAGUCCAUUCUUUGAAGUGGAGUAAGGGGACCUACAGCUUGUCCAAGUACCUCGGCAUCCUGUCAUCUCAAACUUCGAAGGUUCUAUUCACCUAGUUAACUACCAAUAGGGAGUAAAAUUUAGAUUCGAUGACUUACGCUCCCAAGCUUUUAGCUGGUUUGAGACCUACAAUCAUAGACUCAUACUCGGCCUAGUUGUUAGUCAGUUUUGUGGUUUUAGUUAAUUGUCUAAUAACAUUGCCCAUAGGUUGUUUUAAAACAAUACUAAGCCCGUACCCUUUCAUGUUCAAGGCUCCAUCUGUGAAGAGGGUCCAUGCCCACGAUAUUGUACCCGAUUUAACAGAAGUUCUUUUCCACUUCGGGUAUGAGGGUUGGUUAAAAGUCUUCCACAAAAGUCUGCUAAUAUUUGACACUUGAUGUCGUUCGGGGUUGAUACUUGGUAUUAUACCCGCUAAUUUCGACGGCCUAUUUGGCCAAUCGGCCUGAUAACUCGGGCUUGUGCAAUAUAUUCCAAAGGGUGUAUGUGGUAAUAACAUAUAUGGGAUGACAUUGGAAAUAUGUCUUUCGUUUUCUAGAUGCGUUUAUUAAUGCAGGUGCCGAAUUUUCUAGGUGUGGAUACCUGUUUUCAGUAUCUCUUAAAGUUUGACUCACAUAGUAAACUGGAAACUGCAUACCUUAUUCUUCUCGGACUAUUACUCCACUUACCACUAUCUCGAAAACCACCAAGUAUAGGUAUAGCUUCUCAUUUGCCUUUGGGGUAUGGAGAAAAAGUGGGCUCAAUAGAUUCCGUUUCAAUUCCUCCAUUGCUUGUUGACAAUCCGGAGUCCAUGUAAAAUUAUUUUUCUUUUUAAGUAAGGAAAAUAACCUGUGGUUCCGAUCUGACGACCUCGAAAUGAACCGGCCUAGGACAGCUAUCCGUCUGGUUAACCUCUGAACGGCUUUUACACUGUCCACGACGGUGAUAUCCUCGAUGGCCUUAAUCUUGUUGGGAUUGAUCUCGAUCCCUUCAUUUGACACCAUGAAGCCGAGAAAUUUACUCGAGCCGAUAUCGAAGGCACACUUUAAGGGGUUAAGCUUCAUGUUGUAUCUCCUCAAGAUUUCAAAUAUCUCAUGCAAAUGAGUCAAAUGGUUCUCUACGCACAGGACUUAACUAACAUGUCUUCAAUGUAAACUUCUAUUGAUUUUCCUAUCUGUUCUUUGAACAUCUUGUUAAUUAGGCAUUGAUAUGUAGCUCCUACAUUUUUAGCCCGAAGGGCAUUACAUUAUAGCACUAAGUUCCGUACUUAGCAAUAAAAGAAGUUUUUUCCUGGUCUACUGGAUCCAUCUAGAUUGGUUGUACCCAGAAUAAGCAUUGAGAAAUUAAGUAUCUUGUGGUCCCCCGUAGCAUCGAUCAUUCGAUCGAUGUUAAGAAAAGGAAAAGAGUCUUUCGGGCAUUCUUUAUUCAGGUCCUCAUAAUCUAUACACAUUCUAAAUUUGUUCCUGUUUUUGGGGACUAUGACUACGUUGGCUAUUCAUUUGGGAUACUUGAAUUUCCGAAUGGACCUUACUUUAAUAAGUUUAGUUACCUCUUCCUUUAUGAAGAUGUGCUUUACCUCGGACUUAGGCCUUAUCUUUUUCUUUAUCAGUCUGAACUUGGGAUCCAUGCUCGACUGAUAAUUUGUGAUAUCGGGUGGGAUUCCUAUCAUGUCUAAAUGGGACCAUGCAAAAACAAUCCAAGUUAUAAGAAAUUGAAUGAGUUUUUUCAUAGUUUGGGGGUUAACCCCGUUCCUAGGUAUACUUUACGUUCAGGUAGAUACUCUAUGAGUAUCACUUGUUCCAGCUCUUUAACCAUUGAUUUGAUUGCGUCCGAAUCUUCAGAAACGAUGAAAGUUUGAGGAGUGAGAAAAUCCUCUUCAUCAUCUUCGAUUACCUACUUAUCCAAUUCGAUCGAUGUUGGGGACGAUGAUUGCUAAUUGGAAGCUUGCUUAUCUUUGAUGGUUGACUUUUCUAAGGUCGAAGGUGCUGAUAUUGGUGUAACCUCAUUGACUGCAAACAUCUCUUUUGCAUCGUGUUGUUCCCUAUAAACUAUUUUCACACAAUCCACUGUUGGGAACUUCGUCAUUUGGUGAAGGGUUGAAGGUACUGCCCUCAUAUUGUAGAUCCAUGGCCUUUUGAGCAGUGCAUUGUACCUCAUAUCGCUUUUGGUAACAUGAAAUUUUUUGUCUUGGAUGGUCCCGACCACGUUCACUGGAAGCAUUAUUUCUCCCUUUGUUAUUUCACUAGCCAUGUUGAAGCUGUUUAAGACUCGAGAUGCAGGUAUAAUCCGAUCUAGAAGGCCGAGCUGCUCUACGACCCUUGACAUGAUUGUUUGGCGAACUACCUAGAUCCACGAGAACAUGUUUAACUUGAAUUUUAUUUAGCAAAAUAGAAAUUAUUAGGGUGUCAUUGUGCAAUUGAGAGAGGCCUUCCAUCUCUUCAUCAUUGAAUGUAAGGGUGACUUCGGACAUAUAGUCUCGGGUUCAUUUUCUAUUGUAAUCGAUAAUUUUGGUGCGUUUGAAAACAGGACCUUGUGGGACAUCGACCCCGCCGACAAUCAUGUUAAUAACAUGCUGAGGUUCUUCUUGCUUAUUUUUUCCAUUGGAAUGUCUUUCACUGAAGUGAUUUUUGGCUCUAUCAUUGAGGAAUUCUCGAAAAUGACCCUUGUUGAAUAAUCGAGCUACUUCCUCUCUUAAAUUUUUGCAGUCUUCAAUCCUAUGGCCAUGCGUGCCAUGGUAUUUGCACAUCAAGUUUGGAUUCCUUUGAAAAUGAUCGGUUUAUAUAGGUCUGGGCCACCUAGUGUCUUUAAUCCUUCUGAUGGCCGAUACGAUACCCGAGGCAUCGGCGCUUAAAUUAUACUUCAAUAACCGGGAUACUUAUGUGAGAUCCGUAUAUUUGUCGAAUCCAUACUUGCUCAUGAAUCCCCGAGUAUUCUGUCCUCGGUCACCCCUUUGUUCAUUCUGGGCAGAAUCAUUGAUGGUUUUUUCUUCUUUAUCGCUGAUACUGAUCUUUAUUCGGCCUUGAUUCUCUAUCAACAUCUCUUUGGUUUUUACCUAUCGACCGAUAAGAAUGCACUGAACCUGAGGUGGCUCCUAGUAGAUCGUCCUCGACUCUAAUUUUUGAUUGAUACCGGUUAUGAAUAUCUGCCAAAGUUACAGACGGGCACUCUACAAAUUCUAUUUUAAAUGGGGUGAUGCGAUCGAACUUCACUCGUUUAUUCCCUGGGUGAAAGCCUGAACAACCCACUUGUUGGUACUUCUGUCAUGUCUAAAUGGGACCAUGCAAAGCAAUCCAUGUUAGAAGAAAUUAAAUGAGCUUUUCGGAGUUUGGGGGUUAACCUCGUUCCCAGGUAUACCUUACGUUCGGGUAGAUACUCUAUAAGUAUCACCUGUUCCAGCUCUUUAACCGUUGAUUUGGUUGCGUUCGAUUCUUCGGGAACGAUGAAAGUUUCAGGAGUGAGAAAAUCAUCUUCAUCAUCUCUGAUUAACUGCUUAUCCGAAUCGAUCGAUGCUGGGGACAGUGAUUGCUAUUUGGAAACUUGCUUAUCUUUGAUGCUUAACUUUCUGAGGUUGAAGGUGGUGAUAUUGGCGUAACCUCAACGAAUGCAAAUAUCUCCUUUGCAGCGUGUUCUUCCCAAUAAACUGUUUUCACACAAUCCAGUGUUGGGAACUUCAUCAUUUGGUGACGGGUUGCGGUACUACCCUCAUAUUGUGGAUCCAUGGCCUUUUGAGCAGUGGAAUUUAACUCAUAUCGCUUUCGAUAACAUGAAAUUUUGUGUCUUGGAUGGUCCCGACCCCGUUCAUUGGUAGGAUUAUUUCUCCCUUUAUUGUUUCACUAGCCAUUUUGAAGUUGUUUAGGACUCGAGAUGCAUGUAUAAUCCGAUCUAGAAGGCCGAGCUGCUCUACGACCCUCGAUGUGAUUAUGUUUGCCGAACUACCUAGAUCCACGAGAACAUGUUUAACUUGAAUUUUAUUUAGCAAAAUAUAUAUUACUAGGGUGUCAUUGUGCGAUUGAGAGAGGCCUUCCGUCUCUUUGUCGUUGAAUAUAAGGGUGCCUUUGGAUAUAUAGUCUCAGGUUUGUUUUUCUAUUGUAAUCAAUACUUUGGUGCGUUUGAAGACAGGACCUUAUGGGACGUCGACCCCGCCGACGAUCAUGUCGAUAACAUGCUGAGGUUCUUCUUUUCUCCGUUGGCAUAUCUUUCCUUGAAGUGAUUUUUGGCUCUAUCAUUGAGGAAUUCUCGAAAAUGAUCCUCGUUGAGUAAUCGAGCUACUUCGUCUCUCAACUUUUUGCAGUCUUUGGUCCUAUGGCCAUGCGCGCCAUGGUCUUUGCACAUCAAAUUUGGAUUCCUUUGAAAAGGAUCAGUUUGUAUAGGUCAGGGCCACCUAGUGUCUUUAAUCCUUCCGAUGGCCGAAAGGAUACUCGAUGUAUCGAUGCUUAAAUUGUACUUCGUGAUCGGGACGCGUCUGUAGGAUCCACAUAUUUGCCGAAUCCAUUCUUGCUCAUGAGUCCCUGAGUAUUCUGUCUUCGGUCACCCCUCCGUUCAUUCUAGGCAGAAUCACGGAUGGUUGUUUCUUCUUUAUGGCUGGUACUUAUCUUUAUUCGACCUUGAUUCUC
rnacentral:lncRNA from 1 species